UUCGUUUUCUCGGCCUUUUGGCUAAGAUCAAGUGUAGUAUCUGUUCUUAUCAGCUUUCGUGAGACUCUUAUAUCCAAUAAACCACUAGAAAACUGGAAGUGGCGUUGUGGCUCAAGCAGUAGAGUGCUCACCUUGAGCUGAAGAGCUGAGGGAUAGCGCCCAAGCCCAGAGUUCAAGCCCCA
ensembl:snRNA U2 U2 spliceosomal RNA